rnacentral:lncRNA from 1 species
CCCAUCCCCACGUGUCCCUGUGUCCCCAGGUGUCCUCAAGGUCCUUCAACUCCCAUCCUCAACCAUCGUCUUGUCCUCCAACAUCCUCAAGGUCCUCCAACCCCCAUCCUGAACCAUCGUCUUGUCCCCAGGUGUCCUCAAGGUCCUCCAACCCCCAUCCCCAACCAUCGUCUUGUCCCCAGGUAUCUUCAGGGUCCUCCAUCCCCUAUCCCCAACCAUCGUCUUGUCCUCCAACGUCCCCGAGGUCCUCCAGCCCCUGUCCCCAACCAUCGUCUUGUCCCCCAGUGUCCCCAAGGUCCUCCAGCCCCUGUCCCCAACCAUCGUCUUGUCCCCCAGUGUCCCCGAGGUCCUCCAGCCCCUGUCCCCAACCAUCGUCUUGUCCCCCAGCGUCCCCAAGGUCCUCCAGCCCUCGUCCCCAGGUGUCCCCAUGUCCUCCAACGUCCCCGAGGUCCUCCAGCCCCCAUCCCCAGGUGUCCCCGUGUCCUCCAACAUCCCCGGGGUCCUCCAGCCCCCAUCCCCAACCAUCUCCUUGUCCUCCAACGUCCCCAAGGUCCUCCAGCCCCCGUCCCCAACCAUCUCCUUGACCUCGGGGACCCCCUGGAGGACCUCGGGAACCCCCUGGAGGACCUUGGGAACCCUCUGGAGGACCUCGGGGACCCCGUGGAGGACCUUGGGAACCCCCUGGAGGACCUCGGGAACCCUCUGGAGGACCUCGGGGACCCUGUGGAGGAGCUCAGGGACUCCUUGGAUGACCUUGGGGACCCAGUAGAGGACCUCGGGGACCCCCUGGAGGACCUCGGGGACCCCCUGGAGGACCUCGGGGACCCUCUGGAGAAGCUUGGGGAGGGGGAGGACCCCUUCGGGAAUGUCCCCGGGGGUGUCGGGGACCCCUUAGAAGAAGAAGACGAGGACAUGGAGGUGGGAGCCCCCCCGUAGCGAGCUGGGGGGGGGCGCCUUGGGGGACCUUGGGGACACCUCGGAGGACCUUGGUGAGGUGGCAGGACCCCUUUGAAGACCCCCCCACCCCCCCCCCAUGGACUUUGGGGACCCCUAAGAGGAAGAAGUUGAGGACAUGGAGGUGGGGGACCCUCAUGGAGACCUUCUGGACCCCCCAUAGUGACCUUGGGGACCCCGUUGGGGACCUUCAGGACCUCUGUGAAGACAUUGGGGAGGUGGUGAGAUCCCUUUGGAGACCCUCCGUGGACCUCGGGGACCCCUCAUGGGUGUUGGGGACCCCCCCCCCGGGUGAGGAAGAUUUGGACAUGGAGCCGGGGGGCCACCAUGGGGACCCCUCUAGGGACCUUUUGGACCCCCCGGAGGACCUUGGGGUGGUGGCAGGACCCCUUUGAAGACCCUGCUAUGGGCGUUGGGGAUCCCCCGUGGUUGUUGGGGACCCCCUAAGAUGAGGACACAGAAGUGGGGCGCCCCCGUGGGGACCUUCUGGACCCCCAGGAGGACCUUGGGGAGGCGGUGAGACCCCUUUGGAGACCCCCUGUGGGCCUGGGGGGCCCCUUGGUGGAAGAAAAUGCAGAUAUGGAGGUGGGGGACUCCCAUGGGGACCUUGAGGACCCCCAUAGUGACCUUGGGGACCCCUUUGGGGACCUUGGGGACCCCCAGGAGGACCUUGAGGGGGUGGUGAGACCCCUUUGGAGACCCUCUAUGGGCCUUGGGGACCUCUUAGAGCAAGGAAGCGCAGAUGUGGCGGCGGGAAACCCCCGUGGGGACCUUGAGGACCCCCAUAGUGACCUUGGGGACCCCUUUGAGGACCUUCGGGACCCCCAGGAGGACCUUGAGGGGGUGGUGGGACCCCUUUGAAGACCCUCUAUGGACCUUGGGGACCCCUUAGAGGAAGAAGGAGAGGACACGGAGGUCGGGGACCCCCAUGGGGACCUUGAGGACCCCC